rnacentral:rRNA from 1 species
GACGAACGCUGGCGGCGUGCUUAACACAUGCAAGUCGAACGGUGAAGGGACCGGUUUUUGCUGGUUCUGGAUGAGUGGCGAACGGGUGAGUAACACGUGAGUAACCUGCCCCCUUCUUCUGGAUAACCGCAUGAAAGUGUGGCUAAUACGGGAUAUUCUGCGCCUGCUGCAUGGUGGGUGUGGGAAAGAUAUUGUUUCGGUGGGGGAUGGGCUCGCGGCCUAUCAGCUUGUUGGUGGGGUGAUGGCCUACCAAGGCGGUGACGGGUAGCCGGCCUGAGAGGGUGGGCGGUCACACUGGGACUGAGACACGGCCCGGACUCCUACGGGAGGCAGCAGUGGGGAAUAUUGCACAAUGGGGGAAAGCCUGAUGCAGCGACGCCGCGUGAGGGAGGGAGGCCUUCGGGUUGUAAACCUCUUUCGCCAGUGAAGCAGGCCUGUCCCUUUUGUGGGUGGGUUGACGGUAGCUGGAGAAGAAGCGCCGGCUAACUACGUG